GAUGAACGCUGGCGGCGUGCUUAACACAUGCAAGUCGAACGGUGAAGGCGGAGCUUGCUCUGCUGGAUCAGUGGCGAACGGGUGAGUAACACGUGAGCAAUCUGCCCCUGACUCUGGGAUAAGCGCUGGAAACGGCGUCUAAUACUGGAUACGAGCUGCGAAGGCAUCUUCAGCAGCUGGAAAGAACUUCGGUCAGGGAUGAGCUCGCGGCCUAUCAGCUUGUUGGUGAGGUAACGGCUCACCAAGGCGUCGACGGGUAGCCGGCCUGAGAGGGUGACCGGCCACACUGGGACUGAGAAACGGCCCAGACUCCUACGGGAGGCAGCAGUGGGGAAUAUUGCACAAUGGGCGAAAGCCUGAUGCAGCAACGCCGCGUGAGGGACGACGGCCUUCGGGUUGUAAACCUCUUUUAGCAGGGAAGAAGCGAAAGUGACGGUACCUGCAGAAAAAGCGCCGGCUAACUACGUG
rnacentral:rRNA from 1 species